rnacentral:rRNA from 1 species
GGGCGUAAGAGCUCGUAGGCGGCUUGUCACGUCGGGUGUGAAAGUCCGGGGCUUAACCCCGGGUCUGCAUUCGAUACGGGCUAGCUAGAGUGUGGUAGGGGAGAUCGGAAUUCCUGGUGUAGCGGUGAAAUGCGCAGAUAUCAGGAGGAACACCGGUGGCGAAGGCGGAUCUCUGGGCCAUUACUGACGCUGAGGAGCGAAAGCGUGGGGAGCGAACAGGAUUAGAUACCCUGGUAGUCCACGCCGUAAACGGUGGGAACUAGGUGUU